CCUACGGGUGGCAGCAGUGGGGAAUAUUGGGCAAUGGGCGCAAGCCUGACCCAGCAACGCCGCGUGAAGGAAGAAGGCUUUCGGGUUGUAAACUUCUUUUGUCAGGGACGAAGCAAGUGACGGUACCUGACGAAUAAGCCACAGCUCACUACGUGCCAGCAGCCGCGGUAAUACGUAGGUGGCAAGCGUUAUGCGGAUUUACUGGGGGUAAAGGGCGUGGAGGCGGGACUGCAAGUCAGAGGUGAAAACCACGGGCUCAACCUGUGGCCUGCAUUUGAAACUGUAGUUCGUGAGUACUGGAGAGGCAGACGGAAUUCCUAGUGUAGCGGUGAAAUGCGUAGAUAUUAGGAGGAACACCAGUGGCGAAGGCGGUCUGCUGGACAGCAACUGACGCUGAGGCGCGAAAGCGUGGGGAGCAAACAGGAUUAGAUACCCGAGUAGUC
rnacentral:rRNA from 1 species